GCCUCUGUAGCUCAAUGGAAGAGCAGUUCCGUCCUAAGGAAAUGGUUGCGCGUUCGAGUCGUGCCAGGGGCA
rnacentral:tRNA from 1 species